rnacentral:tRNA from 1 species
GGAGCACAGACGGCAUUGGGGACACAAAACUCGAAAUGCGAUAGGGCGUUAACAGCGCCGCCAGAGUUCAAAUCUCUGAUGCUCCGCCA